GACAGUGUGGUUUAGUGGUUUGAGCAUUGGACUACAACCCUGGAGGCCAGAGUUUGAUUCCCUGCUCAACCA